CAGCAGUAUAGACGAGAACUCGAAUACAGUCGUAAUCCGGCUCCUGAAUUUUCAUGAGCAUAAAGCAUAAUCAUCGUCGAGAGUAUAAGGUGUAAAUAUUGAUUGGUCAGUGAUCGAGGAUUGUAUUACAUUUCGAUUGAGUAUACUAACAGUUAAAUUGAUAAUGACACGGGAAGCCUCGUGACGACGCAACUGAAUUUGUCCCCGAUACAGAGCUCAAGCGACAAAAAUCCUUAUGCGUUUUCACGUCCGACCGACGAUUCGCUCAACAGUUCAGUGCUUGCAUUCGCUACUUUACAUCGAGACAAUAUGGACGCUCGCUAGGAGUUUCUGACUGUCGUAAAUUUGAUAAAGAAUAUAAUUGCCACGUCGUUGUGAAAAAUUUUAUACGAACGAAGAAACAUAACUUCAACAGUCGACGAGUAAACGUGUGUGAAUACGGGAGUCGUGGAAACGUUGAAAGUUGGCGAAAAUGUUGACCGCUGCGGCUAACACGCUGUCAAAUAACACUGGCGGCUCGUACAGCAAUGAUCGACCAUCCAAUGCCGGAGAUACCGAGAUUGGUACGGAUCCAGCUUCAGGAGGAUUUUUUCAUUCCGAUUACAAAAAACAUGACGACCUGAAACAAAUGUUGGACAGCAGCAAAGAUGGAUUAAAGCUUGAGGCCAUGAAACGGAUUAUUGGGAUGGUGGCCAAGGGACGCGACGCUUCUGACCUUUUUCCAGCAGUAGUGAAGAACGUGGUGUCAAAGAAUAUCGAAGUGAAAAAAUUGGUGUAUGUCUAUUUGGUGCGGUACGCCGAGGACCAACAAGAUUUGGCACUUUUGUCAAUAUCAACGUUUCAACGAGCGUUGAAAGAUCCAAAUCAAUUAAUCAGAGCGAGUGCUCUAAGAGUAUUGUCAAGCAUAAGAGUAGCCAUGAUAGUUCCAAUCGUAAUGCUUGCAAUUAAAGAUUCUGCAAGCGACAUGUCACCUUACGUGAGGAAAACAGCGGCUCAUGCGAUCCCCAAAUUGUAUUCUCUGGAUGCUGAACAAAAAGAGGAAUUAAUAAGCGUUUUAGAAAAGUUGCUGUCUGAUAAAACGACCCUCGUUGUCGGCUCGGCUGUUAUGGCCUUUGAAGAAGUUUGCCCUGAACGCAUCGAUCUCAUUCAUAAGAAUUAUAGAAAAUUGUGCAAUCUGCUGGUCGACGUUGACGAGUGGGGACAAGUUGUUAUUGUCAACAUGUUAACCAGAUAUGCCAGAACUCAAUUCGUCAACCCUAAUUUGGAUGACGUGGAGGAGGACGAGAAUCGACCGUUUUAUGAUUCGGAUUCGGAUUCUUCGAACACGAAAAAAGUGAUAUUCGCUCUGGAUGCUGAUCAUCGAUUGCUACUCCGGAACACGAAACCGUUGUUGCAAAGCCGGAAUGCUUCUGUCGUCAUGGCUGUUGCUCAACUAUACCAUCAUGUUGCUCCAAGAAGUGAAGUGAUGAUCGCUGCCAAAGCUCUCAUAAGACUGCUUCGAGGUCAUCGCGAAGUUCAGAGCAUCGUUCUCAACUGUAUUGCCAGCAUAUCCAUCGCGAGAAAGGGAAUGUUUGAGCCUUUCCUCAAAUCUUUUUUCGUCAGAACUUCCGAUCCAACCCACAUAAAAUUACUAAAACUCGAUAUUUUAACGAGUUUGGCAACGGAAACGAGUAUAAGUGUAAUUUUACGAGAGUUUCAAACCUACAUCGCGAGUAGCGACAAGGAAUUUGUUGCUGCUAGCAUUCAAGCGAUCGGACGAUGUGCCAGUAACAUUAAAGAAGUUACCGACACGUGUCUGAACGGAUUAGUCUCUUUGCUGAGUAAUCGUGACGAAGUCGUCGUGGCCGAGAGCGUAGUUGUGAUCAAGAAACUGUUGCAGACCCAGCCGAACGAGCACAAAGAAAUAAUAGCUCGUAUGGCAAAGCUGAUGGAUUUUAUAACCGUGCCACAAGCUCGAGCCUCGAUUUUAUGGCUACUAGGAGAAUAUUCAGAUCGGGUGCCGAAGAUCGCUCCCGACGUGCUUCGAAAAAUGGCUAAAAGUUUCGUCAACGAGAAGGACAUUGUAAAAUUACAAACGUUGAAUUUGGCGGUAAAGUUAUGUUUGAAUAAUCCGGAACAAACAAAACUUUUUUGUCAAUACGUAUUUCAAUUAGCGAAAUACGACCAGAAUUACGAUAUCAGGGACAGAGCCCGAUUUUUGCGACACUUUAUUUUCGACGAGGAAAACGGUUCGGACAAACAAUUGCCGAAAUAUGCGAAAAAAAUUUUUUUCGCACCCAAACCCGCACCGACUCUUUCCUCGAGAUUCAACGGCUCCGAAUACCAACUUGGCACACUCUCACAUUAUCUGGGCAUGCCCUGUAACGGCUACAGACCUUUACCUUCAUUUCCCGAAGUCGCGCCUGAUGCUUCCGUUCGUGACGUCGCUGAACCGAUCGUUACUCAUGAUCUCAAAGACAAGCGUCAUACGAAAAAAGAUAGAAAAGACAAAAAGGGGAAAGAGAAGGAAAAAAGCUUUUACAGCGAGGACGAAAGUUCCCCUGGCGAAGACGCCGCAGAUUCGAAAUCCGAAGACGACGAGACUUCUGAAUCUUCUUCGAGCGGAACAUCCGACUCGGAAAGCGGCGAUUCAUCCGAAUAUUCAUCCGACUCGGAUAAAUCCAAGGACGAAAAACCCCGUAGAAUUAAAAAUUCGGAAAAAUCCGAGAGUUCGGAAAGCGACAGUGAUGAAAGCGACGAUUCGGAUUCCGACGAUAAAUCUGAAUCAUCCGAGAGCGAAGUUGAAACUAAACCGAUCCAUAGCAAAGAAAAAAUAGCGAAAACAGAAGUGAAGGAGAAACCGAAAUCUAGUCUGGACUUGUUGUUAGAUUUGGAUAACGCCUUGCCAAUGACCCCAAUAAUGACUCCGAGCCUGGGAGGUUUUCUCACACCCAUAAGCGUCAACCUCAGCAACGGAAUCCAGGAAGUCUCAGCUUCGUUUACGCCACUGCGAAAAACUGAGAUUUUGAAUAAAAUAACAGGGCGCGGGUUGCGGGUUGAGUCGAGAUUCACGAGGUCGCCACAUCUGGUCAGCGCGAGCAUGGCCAACCUUGAACUAACUUUUACGAACGAGGGUAACGAGCAGAUAAAAGACGUUCGAACAGGCAACAAAAGUCUAUCGUCAGGAAUGUCGAUUCACGAUUUUUCUUCGGUGCCGAAUCUCCAACCGAACAUGACAGUUUCCUCAACCUUGGGCGUGAAUUUCAACGACUCGAGUCAACCGGCAAAAUUUAAUAUCGAUUUUACCAUUGCCGAGGAAAACCAUUCUAUCCCAGUGAACAUAAAAGCUCCGAUCGGCGAAAUAAUCAGAUCCGUUAUCUUGCCGGAGAGCAUGUUCAUCGCCGAGAAAGAUAAACUCAAAGGGAUGAAUGAACACUCCACCAAGUUAUCGUACAAAGGAGAGAAAAAAGAGCUGACCCAAAAAAUUUUCGAAGUCGCCAACGUUGCAGUCGUUUCCAUUGAAGAUAGUUUACUCAGAUUUGCUGCUCACACGUUAGCAUCCAAAUCGCUGAUCCUCGUGUCCGUAAAGUUUUUGGAAAACGAUCAACUCGAGCUGUGUGUCAAUUGUGAGAAAAUGGUAAUAGGCUCAAUGCUAUUGAACGAGAUUAAAGUUCACUUGCAGUGAAUUUCUCGUAUGGAAACUCGGAGUCAAUAAUUGGCGACUGUUGCUUUAACUCGCGUAAUAGUUAUAAAAAGGACUUUUGGUCGGAACUCAAAAUAAUAACUGAAACAUCCGAACAAUGUUGAUAUCGUAGAUGUCUGAUAAGAUAGCGGAAAGUUACUCGAGCUCGAGAGUGAUUUUCCUGAAUGAAGGACGCAGUGAAGAUUACCUCUCAACAUUCCAUUUGAAAUGGGCUUUGAAAAAGCGAUGUCAUCGAUCGGAAAACGCGAGAUAACGUCCAACAAAAUUUCCGUACCAAUUCCCCGAUUUCUAUAUUCCGAGCGGACAUAAGCGGUGUCAAUUGUUGGCAUCGAAUAUUCGAUCCCAGUGGUAUGAAUCUCCGUAUCUGGAAGAGGACAGAAAAUUGAGAGCAAAAAUGUUUUUUAUUUGACAGUUGAAUUUUUAUGGCCUAGUUGAUUAUCGGUACAAAAACUUGACACGUUUAGAGAGAUAAGGAGAUAAGAUUUCAAGCGGCCUGUCGGUCACAGAUUUCAUCCGAAAUGUCCACGUGCUUUCGUGAGAAUGAUGGGACACGAAUUUCGAAAAAUAAAGGAACGUCAAGUUUGCAAGUUUUUGAUAAA